AUGGGGCGACGUAUGGGCUUGGCACUACAUUUCCCAUAAGUCCGUAGCAGAGCGUAACGUAGCGUAAUAGGUGUCAGUACGCGCUAUAAAUAGACGCACAACAGCAUAGCGUGCUUUUGGUUGUCAUUCAUUGAGGCUACAAACAAGUGGGUAUCAAGCAGAAUCCCACCCGUGUUAAUGGUGAUUGGCCUGGUGACACAGUCGGCAGAUUUUAACUGAUAUGCUACUUGUGUGAAUUACAUUCAAAAGGUUCUCUAAGAAGAAACUCUGGGUUGGGUUUUAAUUCCUUUCGGUUAGGUCCAGUUAUGUAAGGACUAGCACGACUAUUGUUACUAUUUUUGUUUGUUGAUUUAGGUGAAAGGCCCUGUUUGUUGUGUGCUGUGUACAAAUAUUAUUGUAACUUUUUCUUUGGUUUGUUUUGUUACUCUUGUGUGUUAAAGGGCAGCCGCUCGUCUCCUCCGUGGGUGUGACUGGCACUGGUGAGGUGGUGGGACCCUUUAAUGAGGUGGCCAUUUUCUUUAUGAACCAGCAACCAUUCACACGCGCUGUCUGUCUCCAUUCUACAGUGUGCAGUAAGAAGACAGCCCAGGCAAGACCGUCACAUUGGCCUCAUCUUUUUGAACAGUGUUAGUUUGAGUCAUCUUCUUUCCUGCUGGUGUGCUGGAACAUUGUCUUGUUAUGUUCGACAUGAUGAAAUACAGCUGACUCAGUUUUUUAACCGCGCUAUUGGAGAUAUCCUUGUAUCUGGUGGGUGUUGCACUGGAUCUGUCAGGAAGAGAUGUGUAGUGUUGAGCAAACAGUUCAGUAAUCACGAUCAUUACACUAAAGAAAGUUCACUGCUGAGCAAUUCCAGCGUUACGGAUGUGACAUUUACAGUAAAAACUCAAGACAUUAAUGAACAGGAAGUAUAUGGUGACUAUAAUGAAGCAUGUGUGCAUGGAAUUGCUCUGCUCCCUCCUGCAAUAAUCAGACUUUCCAGGGAUCAUGAGCUUCCCCCGUCCAAAAUCAAUUAGCUUGAUUUGCAGAGGCGGGCCGAUGACAAAGAUAUUACAAUCAUAAAUAUCACAAUGACAAAUUUCCCACCUCAAGCACUCCUGCGCUGCUUUGACAAUCUGCAGGAUAAGCGUACGCGCGUCUCUCUCCUCCAGGUGUUGGUGCUUCUGCAGGAAAUCCUCCAAUGUUCUGCCCUGGCCAAGAUACUCAAUCAACAACAUUAUUGUCUUACACACUUUCUGAAAGCAGAUGCAAUGAGUUAAAAUAAAGCACAUGACAGCAGUCCUCA